AGUGAACGCUGGCGGUAUGCCUAACACAUGCAAGUCGAACGGCAGCACAGUAAGAGCGUGCCCUUACGGGUGGCGAGUGGCGGACGGGUAAGGAAUACAUCGGAAUCUACUUUUACGUGGGGGAUAACGUAGGGAAACUUACGCUAAUACCGCAUACGACCUACGGGUGAAAGCAGGAGAUCUUCGGACUUUGCGCGAUUGAAUGAGCCGAUGCCGAAUUAGCUAGUUGGCGGGGUAAAGGCCCACCAAGGCGACGAUCCGUAGCUGGUCUGAGAGGAUGAUCAGCCACACUGGAACUGAGACACGGUCCAGACUCCUACGGGAGGCAGCAGUAGGGAAUCUUCGACAAUGGGCGAAAGCCUGAUCCAGCCAUACCGCGUGAGUGAAGAAGGCCUUCGGGUUGUAAAGCCCUUUUGUUGGGGAAGAAAAGCAGUAGGUUAAUACCCCGCUAUUCUGACGGUACCUAAAGAAUAAGCCACGGCUAACUUCGUG
rnacentral:rRNA from 1 species